AUGUGGACCCGUCUUCGUCAGCGCUAUGAGCCCUCUGAUGAUGCCCUAUACCUUUCUGUGGUCCGUCAGGAGCAUGCUCUUCAGCAGGGUGACUCUACUGUUGAUGACUUCUAUGCAUAGAGUUCUGCUAUCUGGCGCCAACUUGAUUCUCUCCGCUGUGCUGGUUGUCGUACUUGCCCCUAUUGCCAGGCUGUCCAGGCCAAUUUGGAGUUUCAUCACGUCUACGAGUUCCUGUCUCGGCUCCAUAAGGAGUUUGAGCCCCGACAUGCUCAGCUAUUUGCUCGUGGCCGUAUUUCUCUCAUGGAGGCGCUUUCUGAGGUUCGUGUUGAGGAGACUCACUUACGUGGUGCUAGUUUGCUGGAGGUUCCCUCUGUGCUCGCUACUCGGGCUCCUUCCAUGCCCCCUACUGCACUAACUCCUUCUCGCUCGAGUGCUCCGCCGCUCUUGCCUACUCCUUCUGGAGGCUCAGGUCGCCCCCGUCCACAUUGCGACUACUGCAACAAUGAUGGUCAUAUUGAGUCCCAGUGCUACACGAAGAGGAAACACCUGCGUAAGGCACGAUCAUCAUCUUCAGGGACUUCGUAA
rnacentral:rRNA from 1 species